UUUCAGAUCUUACAUAAAAAAAUACUUUAAGUGCCAAAGAAAAAAAAAACAAAGAAAAAAAAACCUUUCACGACUCUUCUCCUCCAUAGCCUCUCAUCUCCAUUGAUUUUUUUUUUCUCUCACUAUCAUCGCCAAGAGUCCAAGACGACACUAUCAUUGAAUCGAAUUCAGAUCACACAGUUCGCCAUGGAUAACUCAGAUCCAGAUUUGUUAUCCAGAUCGAAACCGCCGUAACCUACGAUUCACCUUAUCCACUCUACGCCAUGGCUUUCUCAUCUCUCAUCAAUUCCACAGAAUCGCCGUCGGAAGCUUCCUCAAAGAUUACAACAACCGUGAAGCCUCUCCCGAAUCUCUCCUUCCAGCGUCCUUAUCCUCCUACAAAACUAAUGUUCAGUCCUCUUAUCUCCGUCUUCCUUCAUCUUGAGAUCUACUCGCUUCUUCCGGCGAUUUCCUCUGUCUUUGGGAUAUUAACAAAGAUUCUUCUACCGUUGAGCCUAUCUCGGUUCUCAACAACAACAAAACGAGUGAGUUUUGUGAUUCUCUUUAGGUUCAUUUGGGUUGAAACAACUCAACACAUUCUCAUUUCUGUUGCAAAGUUUAUGCGUUUUUUGUGAUUCUCGUUAGGUUCAUUUGGGUUGAAAGUUAAAACAUUUUUGAUUUAUCGCUAGUGUUACUGCUUUGGUUUGGAGAUAGAGAAGCUUCUCUUUCUUGUAAUCACUAGACAUUUUAGUAUUUUGAAUGGUUUAGUUAGUAUAUUGCUGUGGCUGUUGUUGUUUUUUCUAAACGUUUAACCCCAUUUCAGGUUUUUGCAUUGAGAGAUGGGAGAUAAUGAACCAUCAAACAUCUAUUUUCGUGUUGUUAGUUGUUUGUUCUCCUACUGGUUCUUGAUGUUCAGUUUCAUGUUCAAGGCUUGUCUUAGUCAUAGGUGCCAUCUAUUAUUCAUACUGGUACUUGUUUUUUCCUUAUUAGAGAUCCUUUUCAUGAUGUAAAGAGCAAAGAAGAGACAAAUAAACCCCUUUAGGAUUCACUCCUUUCAGAGAUUUUUGGAGCACACCUCUGCUAGAGCUUCUCUAUAAGCUUGAAGAAGCAGUUUGGUCUUCUUACUUCGUUUGCUUACCUCUGGCGGGAGGCUUGGGCGAGGUUGUUCUAUGUUUCUACCGCUUUUAAAACAGCUCGAGGAGGCAGAGAAGCUGUUUAUACCAAAGCAAUACACAGCAGAAUGGUGAAGAUGGUUAGAGAACAUCCAUGACUGGUGUAUUUCGAGACAGCUUUGGUGGGGGCACAGAAUACCAGCAUGGUAUACCACUCUAGAGGGAGAUCAUCUCAAGGAAGUUGGUGCGUCCAAUGACUAUUGGGUUGUUGCUAGAAGCCUAGAACCGAGGAAGAAGCUCGAAAAGAGGCUGCUUAGAAAUUUGGUGGGAUCAAAUUUGGUGGGAUCAAGUUAGUUAUAUUUUGUUUAAGAGUUGGUGGCACUUUUAUGUAAGACUUAUUUUGGUUAAUGUAAUAUAAAGUUUAUGUA